GUGUGUUGUGUAAUGCAGCUGCUGCGUGAUGAUCAACAUCCACAAGCUCCUUCACCUCGCUAACUGUGGGAGCAGGCGUCAAUAGAUGGCCUCUUCAUUAACUGAGCUGGAGAUGCUAACCAUCGUGUUUUCUCUCCUGGUUUUUGCCCUCUUCACACUUGGAGGGAUGCUCAGUGAGGAAUGCGGACAGUCAAAUGAGACUAACACAAAACCACAAAAUGAUGUGCUGACUGUCUGACUUUGAUGAGGGUCAUGAUUGUGAUACAGAAGAUUCAAAAGGGAAACACAGCCCUCUGAGCAUGUGACAGUCAAAGCCCCCCCCCCGCCUGUGCGAACCUGUCUGUUACCAGAAUAAAGUUGAACUGGUAACCUCUGAACACAUUUACAAUUGCAUGUGUACUUUGUUAAAGGAUCUUGCGUUAAUAGCCUCCAGGAUGAGCCACAGAGGAGUGGCCUACACUGCACAUUGUGAAAGCAAAAAAGAAGGACUGAACAAAGAAACGCCUGCUUUAACAAACAGUGACAAGACAGUAUCUCGAGCCUGCUUUCUCUGUGAGAGUGUGAAGACAGAAGUGUUUUAUCUAACUUCAGAUCUGAAAACAGCUGUUGUAAUUCUUCUACCAGUAAGUUUUAAAAGCUUAACCGUGCCUGCUCUUCUUCUUCUUCUUCUUCUUCUUCUUCUUCACUCUUUUCUUGUACCUCCUGUUUGAGUUGUUCAAGGACGUUUUCUUCUACCCACUGACGGUUACCUUUGACACUGGGAGGCAAUUGAAAAAUCUAGGUCAGAAACAAAAGGUGUGUUUGGCAGGUUUUGAGUGAGCCAUCUGAUCACUCUAUUGAAAUGAGAAGUAUGAAUCACUUGUGCCAAGGCUCAAAGGGUAGCGAUAUGAAUGUCUACAUUUACAGAGAGAAAAAUGUGGGAAUCACAGGCCAUCUGUGGUCGGCUACACUGAUUCAUUCAGCCUGUCUGUGACAACAUAAAAAUGCUCUCUCUGUUAUUCAGCACCAGCUCUUGUUUGACAGCCGUGUUUUCAUACACAUGUAUAUCUAUAACUAUUUUGUUUACCUGACACGUGAUGGCUAAAGAGUUAAAACAAAAAGAAUAAAAUAAAGGAUGUUUGAUUCUGAAACUCUGCUGAAGAUUCAAAAUGUAUUCACUGAUGUUAAGUUCACAGAAAGUCCCUGAAACUUCAGUGACUGUACUUUUUUCUUUGAUUUUUCACACGGACUGUUUUAUUCAUGGGAGCCCAGCCUGGAGUUUCAGCCUGCCACUCAU